UGUCCUGCGGCUUCCCGUCCCUCGCUGGCCUCCGUUCUCCCUUCCUAUCUGAAGUAGCAGCGGACGCUUCGGCCGGAAACACACAUUUUUAACGGUUUUUUGCCCCUUUUCAAGCGGAGCGGGCCCGUGUAGGCCUCGGAGGUCCUCGAGGCGGCCGGCUGGAGUCUGUUUCUUCCUUGAGGAUCUCCACAAAAAGCGCUGCUUCCGUCCUCCCGCUCGCUUUUCUCUCGGAUGCUGUGAGGGGAAAGGUUUCCCAGGGUAGAAAACGGUGCGAGUGACGGGGCCGCCUUAAAGGAUGCUGAAGGACCACAGUUGCCGCGUCAGGCCCGUGCGCUCGCGGGAAUUUGCCGUGGAAAGCUUUUGUGUGAGAUUAUCCGCGGCCUCGGGGAGACCGCUCUUCCUCCAUCUCGACGUGCGGACCAUCGAGUUGUCCCUGGAGCCCCUGUGCGCCGAGCUCCGUGCUGCUGGCGUGCAUGUGUGUUGGGCGCGGGAUGCGGGAGGAGAACUGACAUGCUGCCCCUGAUGCUCGCGCGUAGAAGAGAUAGUUGGAGAGACUCAGCCACCGCAUUAAACAGAGCCGGUGUAGGCCCCUCUCUGGUGCAGGAAAGGGAGAGGAGUGUGGUCUCAAAGAGGAGGGACGACCUGGAGGCUGUGACUCCUGGUUUGAUCUGGAAAAGAUAACCGAUCUUUCGGGCGAAAGCACAAGCAACUUUUUGGAACUGGACGGUAACGGUGAAAGAGCAUUGCAGAGAAGAAACACCGUAGGACAAAGGCUCGAGAGGGAGUGGGUGUUACACUGGGAGUUCACUGAAGACAGCAGUCUAACUGAAAUGGGGGGAAAAGACCAACCACAGGACUGGAAAGUCAGGUUUGAUAAAUAGGAUGGAGAUUUUAAAAAAAUUUUUAAUAGAGGUAAAAUACACAUAACAUAAAAUUUACCAUCUUAACCACUUUUAAGUGUACCCUUCAGUAGAGUUAAGUACGUUUGCAUUGCUGUGCAGCCAUCUCAGGAACUCUUUUCCUCUUACAAAAGUGGAAUUCUAUAGCCAUUAAACAACUUCUCCUAAGCCCCUUUUGCCAGCUCUUGGCAACCGUUCUACUUUUUGUCAAUUUGACUAUUAAGGUGCUUCAUAUGAGAGGAAUCAUAUAGUAAUUGUCUUUGUGCAACUGGCAUAUUUCAUUUAGCGUAAUGUCUUCAGUGUUUCUCCGUGUUGUAGCAUGUGUCAGAAUUUCCUUCCUUUUUGAGGCUGAAUAAUAUUCCAUUGUGUGUACAUACCAUGAUGGACACUUAGGUGACUUCUACCUUUUGGCUAUUGUGAGUAAUGCUGCUAUGAACAUGGGUGGUCAAAUAUCUCUUUGAAACUCUGCUUUCCAUAGGUUGGGGAAGCUUUUGAAACCAAGUAGAGAAAUCCAUACUGUUUCAGAUCCUCAACUGGGGGUAGUAAAAUGGUGGAAGGACUGCAGUUGGGACUAGAAGGUCAAUACAUGCUCCAUUUAUAGAAAGCACUUAUGGAGGCUGUAAGAUAUGCCAGGCGUUGUACUACUGCUUUGUGUAAAUUAAUGAUAUGUCACUGAAUCCAAAAUAAACGUGAGCCAAUUGUUACCACAUGUUACUGUGAGAAAAUCAAGCUUCUGGGUUACAGAUGGGCUGAGGGGAAGCUAACCAACCACACAUACACAGAAGUGGUCAGGAAAUAACUCCCAUGGGAGCUGGGCAUCCGUGGCCCUGACUGUUCACUGGUUUAUUCAAGGAUAUUGAAAGAAAACAGUUCACACGUAAAAGAAUAGGCUGACAUCAACAGCUUUCACUGUCACAUCACUGGUAUGCCUAGGGGCUUAACAGCAAAACUGCGUUCCGAGGUCCCUAACAGAACCCUGUGGUUUGAAUUCAGGUCUGUUCGUUGCCUUUAAAAAGUAUAAAGUGCCGGGUAAGUACGUCUUUGUGUGUGAUACGGACGUUAGUGAGGCCAUCAUUCCCAACUCAGCUCUUCCUCUUUCACUUUACGUUCUCAGAAGUCCCGGGACAUCAUUCAAAGCAACGAUCUCCACUUGGCAGAUGAGGAGAUUCAGGGCCAGAAAGGAAAAUAAUUUGCCAGCCAUGGCUGAUUGGUACCAAGGCUGCAGCUGAAACCUGAACCUCCAGAAUUCCCACUCUGUGCUUUGGGCUCCCUUACGAAGAUAGAUGCCACAGUCUGAAUUUAUCCUAUGGAUAAACAGGAUGGCUCCAGUGAAUUUAUCUUAACUACUCUAUGGUAUUGCACCGUAGGAAUGUUUUAGCAUUUAUCUAAUCUCCUAUUGAUGGCCAUCUGAAUCUUCUAGCCUGUGAACCAACAGAAUAGUGGUGGUGCAGCACCACUUAAGACCGUGCUAAAAAUGCACUUGACGCAGCUGCAGGGAGAACACAGCCAACGUCGCAGAACGUCCCCUAACAGCCUCCUGUCUGGUGCUCAGCUGUAAACUUCCCAUUGGUUGGCUGUUCCCACCUGGGACGACCACUUGACUUGUUCUUGACUUUUAUGAAGGAACCACUGUCUCCCCUGAAGCAUCUACUCAAACGCAAAAGGAGGUAUUAGGCAGGGCUCAAACGCUGCUGUGUCUUGUCAGCGUUAACUACAGUGCGUCUGUUUCCAGCACCGUGGCAGCAACUAGGACAAGGCUUUCUUGCUGAACCUGUAUAGUGACACAGUCCACACAGCUUCACUUGCUGUCAUUGCCUUUGUUAGGGACAGUUUCAAAGGCAGCAUUCCAAAUCAGAGAUCCUAAGCCAGAGGACGAAACGCACACAUGGAGUACUGGAACCAUGAUCUCAGGCACAUGGAUAUAAGAGCCAGGUCAUUGAGAUGCCACCAGCGGAGAGGUAGGAAUGCUCCUUAAUGGUGGAGGAACCUUUCCCAGGUGACACACCCCUUCCUCUCUCUGAGUCCCAACUUUUGUAGUGAUAACGCUGUCGCACAAAUACGGGAAGCCAUGACAGGUGUACCCUGUAAUUUGGGUAAAUUGUCUAAGUAUCCUUCUCAAGUGUCUGAGAGGCGUUAUGACCAAAUACGCCUUAGAUUACAACACAGGAGAGCAGAGAGAUUUUCCUUGAUGGAUCAGUUGAGAGAAAGAGUGUUAGUAGUCAUUUCCUGUGUCGUGGCACGAUCAGCGAUAUUUUAACUGGCUUCACAGAAAACUUAUCAUCCUGGAUGGCGUAAUUUUUACUGAUGAGGUUGUUAAUUGUGAGCUCAUCAGAAGCAAAAUUUAAUUUCCACGAAUGAAUCUUAUCAUAACUGGAGCUGGUGGGAUUUUUAGCAGAAAACUUCAAUAGAAGGGACCUCCUGGUAUCCAGGGAAGGGGCACAAACUCAGUUAGUUACAUAUCCUAAGGCUCCUCCAGCCUUACUGAGUCCAACAGAUGUGUUAUCUAUACAAAGUCUAUCCCAGAAUUAGGAGAAUUGGGAUGGUCAUUUAAAAAACAAAAUGUUUUGUAAUUUAAAGUAGUUAACAAAAGAAAAUGUAAAUCAGUAGGCCUAUUUAUAGGUACUGAACUUGAUCCAAAGAGCUUGGGUUCAGCAGUCACUUCCACCUCGACCUCUGCUCUGGAGGAGGAAUGUGCUGGCAGUCCUGACUCAGCUGUUCCAUGCAGCCUGACAACCAUGUCUGCGCUGAUGUUUGUCCUGCCACGGUUCAACUUAUCAUUUCAUUCCCUAUAGGGUCCAUAAUCAAGAUUCCCUGGUGUGUCCUUUCAGACUUUAUGAUAUUUCUUCCAGGAAACUCAACCUCUGAUCUGGCGCUUCUAGAAAGGACCUGUAGGCAAAUGUAAGCAGAAAAAUUACAAACCAGCCUGUGGUUGAUAUGACUAAAUUGCUCUGGUUAAUUUUUAUAAUCAGCAUACAGAAUGGAGGGAAGUAGAAUCCUCUAUUAAGAUAUAAUACUUAUGAUUUAUUCACUGUAUAAGGGUCUGGGAGCAUGGUUUUUCUGAACCUGAAAAGUAUAUAACCACUGAAACACACUUAUAUAAAUAACAAGUUACUUAUAUGUAAUUCAACUAGAAAGACUGAAGUUUUCUUUUGACAUUUUCAGGUUUUAAUAUUUUGGUUUGGUAAACAAAAUCACUCUCGUAUGAGUUUUCAGUUUUUUAAACCUGUGCUAUCUAAUAUAAUAGCCGCUAGCCACAUGUAGCUAUUUCAAAUUAAAUUAUUUAAAAUCAGAUAAAAUUAAAAAUUCAGUUCCUCAGACAUACUAGUCACAUUUCAAGUGCUCAACAACUACACGUGGCUGGUAGUUAUAGUAUUGGACAGUGCAGAUCUGGGACAUUUCCACUGUCUCAGAAAGCUCUAUUGGACAGUGCUAAUCUAGAGAAUGCCAUAUGAAUCUGGUUGUAUUCAUUGCCUCUCCUUUGUAAGAUGAAGAACCAAAUCUUGUGUUUCGCCAUGGCUGCCCAGGAAACCCCAAAGAUAUUUUAGCUGUAAAAGACAUCUUAACAGUUUCAUGAUUGCAAAUUUGGGAAAGAGCAAUAUUAAAAAGAGUCAUCAGGAUAGAUUGGUCACAAAAACAAGAUGUUGUUGUCUUGGAACAGUUGCUG